GGCAGCAGCCGCGGUAACACCGGCGGCCCGAGUGGUGAUCGUGAUUAUUGGGUCUAAAGGGUCCGUAGCCGGUUGGUCAGUCCUCCGGGAAAUCUGAUAGCUCAACUAUUAGGCUUUCGGGGGAUACUGCCAGACUUGGAACCGGGAGAGGUAAGAGGUACUACAGGGGUAGGAGUGAAAUCUUGUAAUCCCUGUGGGACCACCUGUGGCGAAGGCGUCUUACCAGAACGGGUUCGACGGUGAGGGACGAAAGCUGGGGGCACGAACCGGAUUAGAUACCCGGGUAGUCCCAGCCGUAAACGAUGCUCGCUAGGUGUCAGGCAUGGCGCGACCGUGUCUGGUGCCGCAGGGAAGCCGUGAAGCGAGCCACCUGGGAAGUACGGCCGCAAGGCUGGAACUUAAAGGAAUUGGCGGGGGAGCACAACAACGGGUGGAAGCCUGCGGUUUAAUUGGACUCAACGCCGGACAACUCACCGGGGGCGACAGCAAUACGUAGGCCAAGCUGAAGACUCUGCCUGAAUCGCUGAGAGGAGGUGCAUGG
rnacentral:rRNA from 1 species